rnacentral:rRNA from 1 species
UAGGAGUUUCGAGUCCUGGCGUCAGGAUGAACGCGUGGCGGCGUGCCUAACACAUGCAAGUCGAACGGGCGCGGCGUGCGGCAGGGGCCUGGCCCCUGCGGCGCCGCGCGAGUGGCGGACGGGUGAGUAACGGCGUGGGCGAACCCUAGGCCCCUGGUACUGGGGGAGUAACACCUGGAAACAGGUGCUAAUACCGCAUAAGCGCGCAGUGCCGCAUGGCACGGCGCGGAAAACCCCGGUGGUACAGGAUGGGCCCGCGUCUGAUUAGCUUGUUGGCAGGGUAACGGCCUACCAAGGCGACGAUCAGUAGCCGGCCUGAGAGGGUGGACGGCCACACUGGGACUGAGACACGGCCCAGACUCCGUACGGGAGGCAGCAGUGGGGGAUAUUGCACAAUGGGGGAACCCUGAUGCAGCGACGCCGCGUGGGUGAAGGAGCGUUUCGGCGCGUAAAGCCCUAUCGGCAGGGAAGAAGAUGACGGUACCAGACCAAGAAGCCCCGGCUAACUACGUG